rnacentral:rRNA from 1 species
GACGAACGCUGGCGGCGUGCUUAACACAUGCAAGUCGAACGGAAAGGCCCUGCUUUUGUUGUGUGCUCGAGUGGCGAACGGGUGAGUAACACGUGAGUAACCUGCCCUUGACUUUGGGAUAACUUCAGGAAACUGGGGCUAAUACCGGAUAGUAGCUCCUGCUGCAUGGUGGGGGUUGGAAAGUUUCGGCGGUUGGGGAUGGACUCGCGGCUUAUCCGCUUGUUGGUGGGGUAGUGGCUUACCAAGGCUGUGAAGGGUAGCCGGCCUGAGAGGGUGACCGGCGACAUUGGGACGGAGAUACGGCGCAGACUCCUACGGGAGGCAGCAGUGGGGAAGAUGGCACGACGGGCGGAGGGCGGAUGCAGCAACGGCGGGGGCGGAAUGAGGGACGUCGGGUUGUAACCCGCUUUCGGCUGUGAGGAAGAGUGAGUGAAGGGAAGGGGUAAAGAAGAACCGGCUAAAUACGUG